UACGUAGGGGGCAAGCGUUGUCCGGAAUCAUUGGGCGUAAAGAGCGUGUAGGCGGCCAGAUAAGUCCGCUGUGAAAUCUCGAGGCUCAACUUCGAGCUGUCGGUGGAAACCGUGUGGCUAGAGUCCGGAAGAGGAGAGUGGAAUUCCCGGUGUAGCGGUGAAAUGCGCAGAUAUCGGGAAGAACACCCGUGGCGAAGGCGGCUCUCUGGGACGGUACUGACGCUGAGACGCGAAAGCGUGGGGAGCGAACAGG
rnacentral:rRNA from 1 species